GACGGAGCGAGCUAGCGUUGUUCGGAAUUACUGGGCGUAAAGGGCGCGUAGGCGGCCUGGUCAGUCGGGUGUGAAAGCCCGGGGCUCAACCCCGGAACGGCACCCGAGACGGUCAGGCUGGAGACCGGGAGAGGAGGGUGGAAUAGCCAGUGUAGAGGUGAAAUUCGUAGAGAUUGGCUGGAACACCGGUGGCGAAAGCGGCUCUCUGGCCCGGUUCUGACGAUGAGGCGCGAAAGAGUGGGGAGCAAACAGG
rnacentral:rRNA from 1 species